rnacentral:rRNA from 1 species
GAUGAACGCUAGCGGCAGGCUUAAUACAUGCAAGUCGUGGGGCAGCAUGAGUAGCAAUACUUGAUGGCGACCGGCAAACGGGUGCAGAACACGUACACAACCUUCCUUCAAGUGGGGAAUAGCCCAGAGAAAUUUGGAUUAAUACCCCGUAAUAUAAUGAUGUGGCAUCACAUUAUUAUUAUAGCUACGGCGCUUGAAGAUGGGUGUGCGGCUGAUUAGGUAGUUGGCGGGGUAACGGCCCACCAAGCCUGCGAUCAGUAACUGGUGUGAGAGCACGACCAGUCACACGGGCACUGAGACACGGGCCCGACUCCUACGGGAGGCAGCAGUAAGGAAUAUUGGUCAAUGGACGCAAGUCUGAACCAGCCAUGCCGCGUGAAGGAUGAAGGUCCUCUGGAUUGUAAACUUCUUUUAUUUGGGACGAAAAAAGGUCUUUCUAGAUCACUUGACGGUACCAUAUGAAUAAGCACCGGCUAACUCCGUGCCAGCCGCCGCCGUAAUAC